rnacentral:rRNA from 1 species
UACGUAGGGUGCAAGCGUUGUUCGGAAUUACUGGGCGUAAAGCGCGCGCAGGCGGUCUUCCAAGUCAGUGGUGAAAGCCCGGAGCUCAACUCCGGAACUGCCAUUGAAACUGUGAGACUGGAGUACGAGAGAGGUGAGUGGAAUUCCCAGUGUAGAGGUGAAAUUCGUAGAUAUUGGGAAGAACACCGGUGGCGAAGGCGGCUCACUGGCUCGUAACUGACGCUCAGGCGCGACAGCGUGGGGAUCAAACAGG